rnacentral:rRNA from 1 species
UACGGAGGGGGCAAGCGUUAUUCGGAAUCAUUGGGCGUAAAGGGUGCGUAGGCGGCGCGGUAAGUCGGGUGUGAAAUCUCGGAGCUUAACUCCGAAACUGCAUUCGAUACUGCCGUGCUUGAGGACUGGAGAGGAGACUGGAAUUUACGGUGUAGCGGUGAAAUGCGUAGAUAUCGGGAGGAACACCAGUGGCGAAGGCGGCGACCUGGACGGACACUGACGCUGAGACGCGAAAGCGUGGGAGCAAACAGG